GAUGAACGCUGGCGGCGUGCCUAAUACAUGCAAGUCGAGCGAACAGACGAGGAGCUUGCUCCUCUGACGUUAGCGGCGGACGGGUGAGUAACACGUGGAUAACCUACCUAUAAGACUGGGAUAACUUCGGGAAACCGGAGCUAAUACCGGAUAAUAUAUUGAACCGCAUGGUUCAAUAGUGAAAGACGGUUUUGCUGUCACUUAUAGAUGGAUCCGCGCCGCAUUAGCUAGUUGGUAAGGUAACGGCUUACCAAGGCGACGAUGCGUAGCCGACCUGAGAGGGUGAGCGGCCACACUGGAACUGAGACACGGUCCAGACUCCUACGGGAGGCAGCAGUAGGGAAUCUUCCGCAAUGGGCGAAAGCCUGGCGGAGCAACGCCGCGUGAGUGAUGAAGGUCUUCGGAUCGUAAAACUCUGUUAUUAGGGAAGAACAAAUGUGUAAGUAACUAUGCACGUCUUGACGGUACCUAAUCAGAAAGCCACGGCUAACUACGU
rnacentral:rRNA from 1 species